rnacentral:rRNA from 1 species
CAGUAGCCGCGGUAAUACAGAGGGUGCGAGCGUUAAUCGGAUUUACUGGGCGUAAAGCGUGCGUAGGCGGCUUCUUAAGUCGGAUGUGAAAUCCCUUAGCUUAACUUAGGAAUUGCAUUCGAUACUGGGAAGCUAGAGUAUGGGAGAGGAUGGUAGAAUUCCAGGUGUAGCGGUGAAAUGCGUAGAGAUCUGGAGGAAUACCGAUGGCGAAGGCAGCCAUCUGGCCUAAUACUGACGCUGAGGUACGAAAGCAUGGGGAGCAAACAGGAUUAGAGACCCCAGUAGUCCCUGUCUCUUAUAC